CCUACGGGGGGCAGCAGUGGGGAAUAUUAGUAAUGGGCGAAAGCCUGAACUAGCAACGCCGCGUGUGCGAAGAAGGCCUUCGGGUUGUAAAGCACUUUUUGAGAGGAUGAGGAAGGACGGUACUCUCAGAAUAAGUCUCGGCUAACUACGUGCCAGCAGCCGCGGUAACACGUAGGAGGCGAACGUUAUCCGGAUUUACUGGGCGUAAAGCGCGUGUAGGUGGUUUGGUAAGUAGGGCGUGAAAGCUCCUGGCUCAACUGGGAGAGGCCGUUCUAAACUGCCGAACUAGAGGAUGGUAGAGGGAGGUGGAAUUCCGGGUGUAGCGGUGGAAUGCGCAGAUAUCCGGAGGAACACCAGUGGCGAAAGCGGCCUCCUGGACCACUCCUGACACUCAGACGCGAAAGCUAGGGUAGCAAACGGGCUUAGAUACCCCAGUAGUC
rnacentral:rRNA from 1 species